rnacentral:rRNA from 1 species
AAAUUGAAGAGUUUGAUCAUGGCUCAGAUUGAACGCUGGCGGCAGGCCUAACACAUGCAAGUCGAGCGGAAACGAGUUAACUGAACCUUCGGGGGACGUUAACGGCGUCGAGCGGCGGACGGGUGAGUAAUGCCUAGGAAAUUGCCCUGAUGUGGGGGAUAACCAUUGGAAACGAUGGCUAAUACCGCAUGAUGCCUACGGGCCAAAGAGGGGGACCUUCGGGCCUCUCGCGUCAGGAUAUGCCUAGGUGGGAUUAGCUAGUUGGUGAGGUAAGGGCUCACCAAGGCGACGAUCCCUAGCUGGUCUGAGAGGAUGAUCAGCCACACUGGAACUGAGACACGGUCCAGACUCCUACGGGAGGCAGCAGUGGGGAAUAUUGCACAAUGGGCGCAAGCCUGAUGCAGCCAUGCCGCGUGUGUGAAGAAGGCCUUCGGGUUGUAAAGCACUUUCAGUCGUGAGGAAGGUAGUGUAGUUAAUAGCUGCAUUAUUUGACGUUAGCGACAGAAGAAGCACCGGCUAACUCCGUGCCAGCAGCCGCGGUAAUACGGAGGGUGCGAGCGUUAAUCGGAAUUACUGGGCGUAAAGCGCAUGCAGGUGGUUUGUUAAGUCAGAUGUGAAAGCCCGGGGCUCAACCUCGGAAUAGCAUUUGAAACUGGCAGACUAGAGUACUGUAGAGGGGGGUAGAAUUUCAGGUGUAGCGGUGAAAUGCGUAGAGAUCUGAAGGAAUACCGGUGGCGAAGGCGGCCCCCUGGACAGAUACUGACACUCAGAUGCGAAAGCGUGGGGAGCAAACAGGAUUAGAUACCCUGGUAGUCCACGCCGUAAACGAUGUCUACUUGGAGGUUGUGGCCUUGAGCCGUGGCUUUCGGAGCUAACGCGUUAAGUAGACCGCCUGGGGAGUACGGUCGCAAGAUUAAAACUCAAAUGAAUUGACGGGGGCCCGCACAAGCGGUGGAGCAUGUGGUUUAAUUCGAUGCAACGCGAAGAACCUUACCUACUCUUGACAUCCAGAGAACUUUCCAGAGAUGGAUUGGUGCCUUCGGGAACUCUGAGACAGGUGCUGCAUGGCUGUCGUCAGCUCGUGUUGUGAAAUGUUGGGUUAAGUCCCGCAACGAGCGCAACCCUUAUCCUUGUUUGCCAGCGAGUAAUGUCGGGAACUCCAGGGAGACUGCCGGUGAUAAACCGGAGGAAGGUGGGGACGACGUCAAGUCAUCAUGGCCCUUACGAGUAGGGCUACACACGUGCUACAAUGGCGCAUACAGAGGGCGGCCAACUUGCGAAAGUGAGCGAAUCCCAAAAAGUGCGUCGUAGUCCGGAUUGGAGUCUGCAACUCGACUCCAUGAAGUCGGAAUCGCUAGUAAUCGUGGAUCAGAAUGCCACGGUGAAUACGUUCCCGGGCCUUGUACACACCGCCCGUCACACCAUGGGAGUGGGCUGCAAAAGAAGUAGGUAGUUUAACCUUCGGGGGGACGCUUACCACUUUGUGGUUCAUGACUGGGGUGAAGUCGUAACAAGGUAGCGCUAGGGGAACCUGGCGCUGGAUCACCUCCUUAUACGAUGAU